rnacentral:lncRNA from 10 species
GAAGCCGUCCGCGGCCCCCACCCCUCCCGCCUGGCUCGGGCGCCAGGAGAAGCGGACAUUUUAGCCUCCUCUGCAAUCCGCUCUCUCGUUCGUGUCCUUCUCCCCCCUCUCGUCCGGUAGGGCCGGCAGUGUAGAUUUCCCCAGGGGCGGGGGUGGGAUCUGAGCAAUCACUCGCCCUCCCCCCUCCCAGGGGCGGGGAGGGGGUGAUUUAGGGAGGACUCCACGGGGCCCAAAGGUUCGCACCGCCCCGCCGCGGCCCAGCCUGCAGAAGCCCCCCGCUGCCGCGGCGCCCCCGCUCCCCGCCCCGCGAGGCGCGCGCAGCUGCGCCCGGGCCUGUCCUCGCUUCACCCCCACUCUGCCCCUUCGGUAUUUCUCAAUGACCGGCGCUCCGAGGACACUUCCGACGCGGAGGGAGGGGGUGUCAUUAGCGCUCGGUUAUCAGUUCCUUCCGGUCUCCCCGAGCUCAACCCUGCGCGCGGCCGGGCCGCGCCUCGGGCGAUCUGGUGCCUUUAUUAUGAUGUUUAAGUAAGCAGUCGUGUGUGCCAAGUGAGUUUGUAGCCCAGCUGUCUCCCCCAAGCCCCGCUGGCAGGAAUGGAAACCCAAGCUCUCUCGUAAUGCAGGGGAUGAUGCAAACUUAGAAACUGACCCGGCGCCCGGGAAUGAGGCCCCCCCGCCCCGGGCGUGCGGCGGCCCAGUCGGGGCAUGAAUGGCUGGAGCCCGAUUGCAUAAUCCGCGCGGUAUAAAUAGCCGGCGGGCGGGCCGCUGACGCGCUCGGUUGUGCCGUUAUCGUGCAAUGCUUCAUCCCCGGUGCCGUUCAAUCCCAGGUCGUUUUCCCUUUCAGCUGCAAUGCCGGGAUUUUAAAUAGCAGAGAUGAAAGGCCCCUGCCCCCGCCUCCCUCCUCCCCUGAGUUCAUGUAUUAUGAAUGAAACGGCAGCCUCGCUGCUUCCUGAGGUGCUCCACUUCAGGCUGGGGUGCAAUGGCUCGAUCUCGGCUCAGUGCAACCUCUGCUUCCCGGGUUCAAGUGAUUCUCCUGCGUCAGCCUCCCAAGCAGCUGUGAAUACAGGUUGGAGUGCAGUGGUGCUGUGUCUGGAGUUUGUUCCUGCCGUUGGGUUUGUGGUCUUGCUGACUUCAAGAAUGAAGCCACGGACCUUCACGUCCAUCGCCUUGGCUUAGUGCAUGUCACCAAAAAUUCUCCAGGAAUUUCAUAGUUUGGACCUUGGUGGCAUGGCUGGCCCUGGAUUAUCCAUGCAGGGAGGCCUGAUCCUGUGACAGCUGGCUGCAGCAGGGGGCUGCCCAUCUUCUGUGCUUUGUGGUACAUAUCUGUGUCACCAAAGUAGCGGCCUCGGUACAGCAAGCCUUUCAUCUGCUGCUUCUCCGUCCAGCAGUUGUUCCAGAGGUUGGCGAUAUAAUCAUCUUUCACAUUCGGUUUGACUGUUUGGAGGCUGGAGCCUGUGUACUCCUCGGAGAAAAUGCCUGCCACAUAGUAGAUGACACUCAGGUGGUCAGUGACUCGCCUGUGAUGUGGCCCACAAACAGUCUUGGGCUCAGACUGUAGGGUGGACUGGAGACCAUGAGCUGGCUGAGAGCUGACAUGAGGAUGAGGAUGGGUAUCAGCUGCACGAACACCCGCAAGCUGCCGUCACUCCGCUUCUCCCUGCAGCCCUGCCUUUGCUGAUACACACACAGGCACAUUGGAAACGCAGUAGAAAAUGGCUGCCAAUUUAAAACCAGAAGUUAAGAAGAGCAAACUCGAAUGUACAGCAAGAGAGCUUCAGGCUGGACUGGCUUCCAGCAGAAGUGGGACUGGAAACCUCGGAUUCUAUUGUCUCUUCUCUGUGAAGUGGGAAAACAUGUCAGUAUCUGAACUUGAGCUUGGUAAUUACUGCUCAUUUCUCAACCUUUUCCAAGCCACGUAACUCCCCUAAGGCUUAGUUUUCUUAUCUGUGAAUUGCGAGAUGGUAUGUUCUUCAUCACGAGGUUGCUAUAAAGACUGAAUGAGAUAAUGUGUGUGGAAGCACCAAGCAUGGUCCUUGGCAUGCAGUAGAUGCUCAAUAAAUAUGAACUGGAGUACACAUGCACUCUGCUCCCUCCUGCCCCCUCAUAGUGCCUGGUCUGGCUCUGGGCUCCCUGGGAUAUGGCAGGUUACCAAAGCAGGCACUAAGGCAUGUCUACCCUUGGUACCUUAUUACCUAGGUUUCCUGUGCCACCUGCUUCAUUCUAAUCGCAGAUUUCAGGCUCCAUUCAAACAGAACCUCACUUCUGCUAGCUGUCAUGCUCAAAAAGGGACUGAUGACCACUGAAGCAGGCUAUGAUAGUGAUUUAUGAAUGUCAUUCCUCCAGACAGCAUUUGGAUUAUUACUGGUUUUGCUUUUAUUUUAUUUGGCG